CUCGCAAGAGAGCCGGAACACAGGUGCUGCAUGGCUGUCGUCAGCUCGUGUCGUGAGAUGUGGGUUAAGUCCCGCAACGAGCGCAACCCUUGUCAUUAGUUGCCAUCAUUGUUGGGCACUCGUAAUGAGACUGCCGGUGACAAACCGGAGGAAGGUGGGGAUGACGUCAAGUCCUCAUGGCCUUUAUGACCAGGGCUACACACGUACUACAAUGGCCGGUACAAAGGCAGCGACACAGCGAUGUGAAGCGAAUCCCGAAAAAGCCGGUCUCAGUCCGGAUUGGAGUCUGCAACUCGACUCCAUGAAGUUGGAAUCGCUAGUAAUCGCGGAUCAGCACGCCGCGGUGAAUACGUUCCCGGGCCUU
rnacentral:rRNA from 1 species